AGGGUUUGAUUAUGGCUCAGGAUGAACGCUGGCGGCGUGCUUAACACAUGCAAGUCGAACGGGAUCCCUGGCAGCUUGCUGUCGGGGUGAGAGUGGCGAACGGGUGAGUAAUGCGUGACCAACCUGCCCUGUGCACCGGAAUAGCUCCUGGAAACGGGUGGUAAUACCGGAUGCUCCGCUCCAUCGCAUGGUGGGGUGGGAAAUGCUUUUGCGGCAUGGGAUGGGGUCGCGUCCUAUCAGCUUGUUGGCGGGGUGAUGGCCCACCAAGGCGUUGACGGGUAGCCGGCCUGAGAGGGUGACCGGCCACAUUGGGACUGAGAUACGGCCCAG
rnacentral:rRNA from 1 species